AGCGGCCCGGAAGCAGAGGCGCCAGGGGCGGAGCCAACGCCGGGAGGUUUCGCCCCGUCCCCUCGCAGGGGUCCUGGAGCCGCCCUUGUCAAACGUGUUCCCGCCUCCCGUCUUCCGGAAAGGUUCCCUCCUCCUGCCUUCCGGUCCGGCACCCAACUUACGCCUUCUGGUCCCGCUGUGGGCUGCGCCCCACCCAGCCCGCGCCCCGUAUGGCUGCCUCCCGGGCCGGACCUGUGGAGCUGGGCUUCGCCGAGUUGGCGCCGGCGUGGCGACUGCGCAGCGAGCAGUUCCCCAGCAAGGUAGGCGGGCGGCCGGCGUGGCUGGGGGCGUCCGGGCUGCCGGGGCCCGGGGCCCUGGCCUGCGCGCUGUGCGGCCGCCCGCUCUCCUUCCUGCUGCGGGUGUACGCGCCGCUGCCCGGCCGCGCCGACGCCUUCCACCGCGGCAUCUUCCUUUUCUGCUGCCGCGAGCCGCCGUGCUGCGCCGGCCUGCGAGUUUUUAGGAAUCAGCUACCCAGGAAAAAUGAUUUUUAUUCAUAUGAGCCACCUUCUGAGAAUCCUUCCCCAGAAACCGAAUCAGUGUGUCUCCAACUUAAGUCUGGUGCUCAUCUAUGCAGGGUUUGUGGCUGUUUAGGCCCCAAAACGUGCUCCAGAUGCCACAAAGUGUAUUACUGUAGCAAGGAGCAUCAGACCCUAGACUGGAGACUGGGACAUAAGCAGGCUUGUGCACAACCAGAUCAUUUGGACCAUAGAAUUCCAGACCACAACUUCCUUUUUCCAGAAUUCGAAAUUGUAAUAGAAACAGAAGAUGAAAUAUUCCCCGAGGUUGUGGAAAAGAAGAUUACUCAGAGAUUAUAGGGAGCAUGGGUGAAGCACUUGAGGAAGAACUGGAUUCCAUGGCAAAACAUGAAUCCAGGGAAGAUGAAAUUUUUCAGAAGUUUAAAACUCAGAUAGCCCUUGAACCAGAACAGAUUCUCAGAUGUGGCAGAGGUAUUGCCUCCAUCUGCAUUUCUGGUGAAAAUAUUCCUCACGAAAAGGAUAUUCCAGAUUGCCCCUGAGGUGCCAAGAGAAUAUUUGAAUUCCAGGUCAUGCCUCAGCUCCUAAACUACCUGAAGGCUGACAGACUGGGUAAGAGCAUUGACUGGGGCAUCCUGGCUGUCUUCACCUGUGCUGAGAGCUGCAGCUUGGAUACUGGCUAUACAGAAGAAUUUGUGUGGAAGCAGGAUGUAACAAAUACACCGUAAGGGCAUCUUAAGGCCUUCAGAUGUGUUAACAAUCUUUUACACCUUGCAAUUCCAUUUCUGGAACUUUAUCCUAAGGAAAUACUUAUAUCAAAAAUAGAGGUGCAGAGAUGUUGAGACAUUGCUUACGCAGUGUCUACAUAUUAGUGAAACAGAAGUGUCCAGUGACAGAGAAUUAAAUAAAUUUUGGUACAUCCACAGUGGAAGGCUACAGAAUCUUAUUUAUACAUAUGUUGACAACUGAGAUACCAUUAUAGGUGGUAUUUAUGGUAUAACUCUAUUGUAAAAAUAUUUGUACAUGUAUGUGUGCAUAGAAAUAAAUCUGCAAACAUGUA